rnacentral:rRNA from 1 species
CUAGCUUCAGCGAUGGAUCGGUCGAUUCGCGUAUCGAUGAAAAACGCAGCUAGCUGCGUUAUUUACCACGAAUUGCAGACGCUUAGAGUGGUGAAAUUUUGAACGCAUAGCGCCGUUGGGUUUUCCCUUC